AGAACAGAAGAAGAAGAAGAGGAAGAAGAAGAAGAAGAAGAAGAAGAAGAGACCACGAAGAAGUGGGAAGGGGAAGUAAGAGAAGGAGGGGGAGGGAAACGAAAGAGAGAGAAAGAGAAAGAAGUAUGGACAUGGUGUUGACCGGGCUUUGAACCCUGGUCCCUCUGGAGUACUACGGAGUAGUACGGAGCUCAGGCCGGAUUGGCCAAUCCGGUCCUCUUCUUCGGUACAUCGUGCCACUAUCAACCCUACGUUUCUCUUCGUUUCCCUUUCCCCUUCCUGUCUUUCUUAUAUCCUUCCUCAACCCUUCUUCUUCUUACUCUUCAAACUCUUACUCCCUCUCUUUGCUAUCUUCAAGGAAAAAAAAGAAGAGGAAGAAAAGGAAAAAAGAAAAAGGAGAAGAAAAAAAAAGAAGGAGCUACUGAACCAAUAUCUUCAUAUUUGAUACAUCCUUACAUUGCCUCGUUGGAUUUCGCGAUGCAGAAUCUUCUCUCUUCUACUUGUUGACUCUCUCUCUCUCUCUCUCUAUCUCUUCGAUGGUGGGGACAAGACAGAGACAGAGACAGAGACAGAGACAGAAGAGAGUAAGAGCUGAGCAGGGUAAAGAAGGAAGGAAAGGACCGUUGCACUGACCGGGCUUUGAACCCGCUAUGUGGUAAACAACAGGUACGUUGCACCCGUGCCGCAAUUUGUAAGACUCGACCCGACGAAGGAAGAUCUUCUCUCCACCGGGAAGUCGUCGCUCCGAAAAUACUUGACGAAAGACCUUCUAACGGCAGAGUAUCCCCCCCCCUCUCUCUCUCUCCUCAUCCCCUCUCAUCCUACUCUAUCCUACCCCUUCUCUAUUCAAGCUUUCCCUCUACUUUCUUCUUGUACCUGUUCAACAAACCGCUAACUGGAAACUCGAUUUUUAAUUGUCGUUAACAGGACUCCGUUCAAUGUGUUUUGUUACUAUCAAAGAAAUUUCAAUUCCACGAAAUGGCUACUUUCUUUAAAAGGUAUUUAAUGAACCCUUUAAUCAUAUCUUCCUUCAGGCAAAAAAAAAUUUGAACCGCGUAAUGUGGCAUUUUCGUUUAUUCCUUUUUCUUCUUUCGUUUUCUUUUUUUCUUCUUCUUCUUCUUUCAGUGAACUCUCUUACAUGAACCUUCUCAAGUUGUCCCUGAAAAUCGAUAUUUCUUUAAUAGACUUUUUUGUUCGAUUAUAUCUGACGAAUAUAUAAUUCUCUUGUUUAAAUAACUUCAGUAAUAUUAUAUGUCAUCAACAAAUUGAUACUCUUUCGCGGAACGAUAAUCAAAAUGAAAUUCGUUUGUUAUCUGAUCGAUUUGAUAUUUUUGUCUUCUCUUUUUUUUUUUGUUUCCUUUUUUUGUCUUUGUUUUCUCCUUUUUAUUCAGUAAGACAACAACGAUGGAUCACUCAUCGCGUUUCCUUUUUCAUAAUUUUUAAAAAGCUUUUCUUAUUAAGAGAUAUACACGAUUUGAAUUUGUUCACCAGGAAGUGGGCUAUCGGUUUGAAAUGGGGCCAAACGGUAUCUGGUCUUGGAACGGACGUCAUCAACUUCCGGUCUCACUUAGACGAAGCGCCGCAUGCCUCCUCUUUCGCUACCACUCUUUCGUGAACGAUCGUGACUCGACGUUUCGUUUACGAGAGAUGGCGUAAUGCGUUCGUGUAAUGAACACUUUACGAUGAACAUUUUACAAAAGAGAGAGAGAGAGA